rnacentral:rRNA from 1 species
AACGAACGCUGGCGGCAUGCCUAACACAUGCAAGUCGAACGAGACCUUCGGGUCUAGUGGCGCACGGGUGCGUAACGCGUGGGAACCUGCCCUUAGGUUCGGAAUAACUCCCCGAAAGGGGUGCUAAUACCGGAUAAUGUCUUCGGACCAAAGAUUUAUCGCCUUUGGAUGGGCCCGCGUUGGAUUAGCUAGUUGGUAGUGUAAAAGCCUACCAAGGCGACGAUCCAUAGCUGUUCUGAGAGGAUGAUCCGCCACACUGGGACUGAGACACGGCCCAGACUCCUUCGGGGGGGAGGAGGGGGGAAAAUUGGAAAAGGGGGGAAACCCCGAGCCAGCCAAGCCGCGGGAGGGAAGGAGGGCUUUGGGGUGUAAAGCUCUUUUAACCGGGAAUAAAAAGACCGGACCUGGGAAAAAAACCCCCGCCAACUACGUG